rnacentral:rRNA from 1 species
CAAGGAAUUUUGCGCAAUGGGCGAAAGCCUGACGCAGCAACGCCGCGUGGGGGAAGAAGGCCUUCGGGUUGUAAACUCCUUUUGCGAGGGACGAAGAUCUGACGGUACCUCGCGAAUAAGCCACGGCUAACUACGUGCCAGCAGCCGCGGUAAUACGUAGGUGGCGAGCGUUGUCCGGAUUCACUGGGCGUAAAGCGCGCGCAGGCGGGCCGGUCAGUCCGGGGUGAAAUCUCACGGCUCAACUGUGAGGGGUCCCCGGAUACUGCCGGUCUUGAGGUACCUAGAGGAGAGUGGAAUUCCCGGUGUAGUGGUGGAAUGCGUAGAUAUCGGGAGGAACACCAGUGGCGAAAGCGGCUCUCUGGGGGUGACCUGACGCUGAGGCGCGAAAGCGUGGGGAGCGAACCGGAUUAGAUACCCGUGUAGUCC